rnacentral:rRNA from 1 species
GACGAACGCUGGCGGCGUGCUUAACACAUGCAAGUCGAACGGAAAGGCCCUGCUUUUGUGGGGUGCUCGAGUGGCGAACGGGUGAGUAACACGUGAGUAACCUGCCCUUGACUUUGGGAUAACUUCAGGAAACUGGGGCUAAUACCGGAUAGGAGCUCCUGCUGCAUGGUGGGGGUUGGAAAGUUUCGGCGGUUGGGGAUGGACUCGCGGCUUAUCAGCUUGUUGGUGGGGUAGUGGCUUACCAAGGGUUUGACGGGUAGCCGGCCUGAGAGGGGGACCGGCCACAUUGGGACUGAGAUACGGCCCAGACGCCUACGGGAGGCAGCAGUGGGGAAUAUGGCAGAAUGGGCGGAAGCCUGAUGCAGCAACGCCGCGUGCGGGAUGACGGCCUUCGGGUUGUAAACCGCUUUCGCCGGUGACGAAGCGUGAGUGACGGUAAUGGGUAAAGAAGCACCGGCUAACUACGUG